AGCAGGUUGGCUUAGUGGAUAGAGCACGGACCUGAAAGUCGGAAGGACCUGGGUUCUAAUCCCGGAUCUGCCA
rnacentral:tRNA from 1 species